UUGGUGCUGACAAUACAGUUCUUCGGCGGAAAGUAAUAGAAGAAGAAUGAUGAACGUGCUAAUGUGCGGAAAAUGUUGCAACAUGAAAAUGUUGUCACGUAAAUGGUUUAAAAUUCUGUUCUAUCAUAAGCUUGAACCUCGAAUAUAGUUCACACAAUUUGUAGAGUAAGCAGUGGCAGAAAGUACUCCGUUGUGCACGUUGCUGGAAAAGCACCAAGUAUGGAGUCAAUCGCAUUCGUUAGAACAGGAUGUAUUAUUUCAAUUUCUGUGGUUUAUGUGAUAGUUGAUUUCGUAGCCUUGCCACCGUCGUGAUCAUAACCUAACCAGUGGAUGUCGCAGUCAUGCUAAAAAGCAAUGAUGAGUUCGGUUGCUAACCGCAUUUGCAGAGCGGCAUCUUUUCGGUGAUUGUGUUGUACAGUAUGUAGUGAGAAAGUUGUCUGGGAUAUGAACUAGUAGAAAAAGCAAAAAUAUGGAGUCAAUCGCAUUCGUAAGAAGAAAAAGGAUUAUUUGAAUUUGUACGUGGUUUAUGCGAUAUUUUGUUCUGCAGGCUUGCCAUUGGCUUGAUCAUAACCUCGUCAGUGGAUAUCGCAAUCAUGAGGGAAAGCCGUAUUAUAUUUUUGGGAAUGAAAUCUGCGCCCGAAACAGUGAUACAAUAAUUUGACAAGAGUAACAAUUCGAAUAACUUGGAGAACAACGAAAAAUGGAAUCGAAUGGAAUGGAACCGAUGGAAUGUGUAUUCAUUGCUGGCCGCCUAUGAAUCGCCAACCAAAGUU